rfam:Pseudomonas syringae pv. tomato str. DC3000, complete genome.
GGUCAAGUGAAGAAGCGCAUACGGUGGAUGCCUUGGCAGUCAGAGGCGAUGAAAGACGUGGUAGCCUGCGAAAAGCUUCGGGGAGUCGGCAAACAGACUGUGAUCCGGAGAUGUCUGAAUGGGGGAACCCAGCCAUCAUAAGAUGGUUAUCUUACACUGAAUACAUAGGUGUAAGAGGCGAACCAGGGGAACUGAAACAUCUAAGUACCCUGAGGAAAAGAAAUCAACCGAGAUUCCCUUAGUAGUGGCGAGCGAACGGGGACCAGCCCUUAAGUUGUAUUGAGAUUAGCGGAACGCUCUGGAAAGGGCGGCCAUAGUGGGUGAUAGCCCUGUACGCGAAAAUCCCUUUGCAAUGAAAUCGAGUAGGACGGGGCACGAGAAACCUUGUCUGAAUAUGGGGGGACCAUCCUCCAAGGCUAAAUACUACUGACUGACCGAUAGUGAACCAGUACCGUGAGGGAAAGGCGAAAAGAACCGCGGAGAGCGGAGUGAAAUAGAUCCUGAAACCGUAUGCGUACAAGCAGUGGGAGCCCACUUUGUUGGGUGACUGCGUACCUUUUGUAUAAUGGGUCAGCGACUUAUUUUCAGUGGCGAGCUUAACCGAAUAGGGGAGGCGUAGCGAAAGCGAGUCUUAAUAGGGCGUCUAGUCGCUGGGAAUAGACCCGAAACCGGGCGAUCUAUCCAUGGGCAGGUUGAAGGUUGGGUAACACUAACUGGAGGACCGAACCGACUACCGUUGAAAAGUUAGCGGAUGACCUGUGGAUCGGAGUGAAAGGCUAAUCAAGCUCGGAGAUAGCUGGUUCUCCUCGAAAGCUAUUUAGGUAGCGCCUCAUGUAUCACUGUAGGGGGUAGAGCACUGUUUCGGCUAGGGGGUCAUCCCGACUUACCAAACCGAUGCAAACUCCGAAUACCUACAAGUGCCGAGCAUGGGAGACACACGGCGGGUGCUAACGUCCGUCGUGAAAAGGGAAACAACCCAGACCGUCAGCUAAGGUCCCAAAGUCAUGGUUAAGUGGGAAACGAUGUGGGAAGGCUUAGACAGCUAGGAGGUUGGCUUAGAAGCAGCCACCCUUUAAAGAAAGCGUAAUAGCUCACUAGUCGAGUCGGCCUGCGCGGAAGAUGUAACGGGGCUCAAACCAUGCACCGAAGCUACGGGUAUCAUCUUUUGAUGAUGCGGUAGAGGAGCGUUCUGUAAGCCUGUGAAGGUGAGUUGAGAAGCUUGCUGGAGGUAUCAGAAGUGCGAAUGCUGACAUGAGUAACGACAAUGGGUGUGAAAAACACCCACGCCGAAAGACCAAGGUUUCCUGCGCAACGUUAAUCGACGCAGGGUUAGUCGGUCCCUAAGGCGAGGCUGAAAAGCGUAGUCGAUGGAAAACAGGUUAAUAUUCCUGUACUUCUGGUUAUUGCGAUGGAGGGACGGAGAAGGCUAGGCCAGCCUGGCGUUGGUAGUCCAGGUUUAAGGUGGUAGGCUGAGAUCUUAGGUAAAUCCGGGAUCUUAAGGCCGAGAGCUGAUGACGAGUGUUCUUUUAGAACAUGAAGUGGUUGAUGCCAUGCUUCCAAGAAAAGCUUCUAAGCUUCAGGUAACCAGGAACCGUACCCCAAACCGACACAGGUGGUUGGGUAGAGAAUACCAAGGCGCUUGAGAGAACUCGGGUGAAGGAACUAGGCAAAAUGGCACCGUAACUUCGGGAGAAGGUGCGCCGGUGAGGGUGAAGCAUUUACUGCGUAAGCCCACGCCGGUCGAAGAUACCAGGCCGCUGCGACUGUUUAUUAAAAACACAGCACUCUGCAAACACGAAAGUGGACGUAUAGGGUGUGACGCCUGCCCGGUGCCGGAAGGUUAAUUGAUGGGGUUAGCGCAAACGAAGCUCUUGAUCGAAGCCCCGGUAAACGGCGGCCGUAACUAUAACGGUCCUAAGGUAGCGAAAUUCCUUGUCGGGUAAGUUCCGACCUGCACGAAUGGCGUAACGAUGGCGGCGCUGUCUCCACCCGAGACUCAGUGAAAUUGAAAUCGCUGUGAAGAUGCAGUGUAUCCGCGGCUAGACGGAAAGACCCCGUGAACCUUUACUAUAGCUUUGCACUGGACUUUGAAUUUGCUUGUGUAGGAUAGGUGGGAGGCUUUGAAGCGUGGACGCCAGUCUGCGUGGAGCCAACCUUGAAAUACCACCCUGGCAACUUUGAGGUUCUAACUCAGGUCCGUUAUCCGGAUCGAGGACAGUGUAUGGUGGGUAGUUUGACUGGGGCGGUCUCCUCCUAAAGAGUAACGGAGGAGUACGAAGGUGCGCUCAGACCGGUCGGAAAUCGGUCGUAGAGUAUAAAGGCAAAAGCGCGCUUGACUGCGAGACAGACACGUCGAGCAGGUACGAAAGUAGGUCUUAGUGAUCCGGUGGUUCUGUAUGGAAGGGCCAUCGCUCAACGGAUAAAAGGUACUCCGGGGAUAACAGGCUGAUACCGCCCAAGAGUUCAUAUCGACGGCGGUGUUUGGCACCUCGAUGUCGGCUCAUCACAUCCUGGGGCUGAAGCCGGUCCCAAGGGUAUGGCUGUUCGCCAUUUAAAGUGGUACGCGAGCUGGGUUUAGAACGUCGUGAGACAGUUCGGUCCCUAUCUGCCGUGGACGUUUGAGAUUUGAGAGGGGCUGCUCCUAGUACGAGAGGACCGGAGUGGACGAACCUCUGGUGUUCCGGUUGUCACGCCAGUGGCAUUGCCGGGUAGCUAUGUUCGGAAAAGAUAACCGCUGAAAGCAUCUAAGCGGGAAACUUGCCUCAAGAUGAGAUCUCACUGGAACCUUGAGUUCCCUGAAGGGCCGUCGAAGACUACGACGUUGAUAGGUUGGGUGUGUAAGCGCUGUGAGGCGUUGAGCUAACCAAUACUAAUUGCCCGUGAGGCUUGACCAU